rnacentral:tRNA from 1 species
GCCUUCCUGGUGUAGUGGUCAGCACGCUCGGCGCGUAACCGAGAGGUCCGUAGGUUCGAUUCCUGGCGAAGGCG